rnacentral:tRNA from 1 species
UCCCUGGUGGUUCAGCGGCUAAGACUCUGAGGUCUCAACGCAGGGGCCUGGGUUCAAUUCCUGGUCGGGGAA